GACGAACGCUGGCGGCGUGCUUAACACACGCAAGUCGAACGAAGAGCGAUGGAAGCUUGCUUCUAUCACUCUUAGUGGCGAACGGGUGAGUAACGCGUAAUCAACCUGCCCUUCAGAGGGGGACAACAGUUGGAAACGACUGCUAAUACCGCAUACGAUCUAAUCUCGGCAUCGAGGAUAGAUGAAAGGUGGCCUCUACAUGUAAGCUAUCACUGAAGGAGGGGAUUGCGUCUGAUUAGCUAGUUGGAGGGGUAACGGCCCACCAAGGCGAUGAUCAGUAGCCGGUCUGAGAGGAUGAACGGCCACAUUGGGACUGAGACACGGCCCAGACUCCUACGGGAGGCAGCAGUGGGGAAUCUUCCGCAAUGGACGAAAGUCUGACGGAGCAACGCCGCGUGAGUGAUGACGGCCUUCGGGUUGUAAAGCUCUGUUAAUCGGGACGAAAGGCCUUCUUGCGAAUAGUGAGAAGGAUUGACGGUACCGGAAUAGAAAGCCACGGCUAACUACGUG
rnacentral:rRNA from 1 species